ACGUAGGGAGCAAGCGUUAUCCGGAAUUACUGGGUGUAAAGGGAGUGUAGGCGGGGUAGCAAGUCAGAUGUGAAAAUUAUGGGCUCAACUCAUAACCUGCAUUUGAAACUGUUGCUCUUGAGUGAAGUAGAGGUAAGCGGAAUUCCUAGUGUAGCGGUGAAAUGCGUAGAUAUUAGGAGGAACAUCAGUGGCGAAGGCGGCUUACUGGGCUUUUACUGACGCUGAGGCUCGAAAGCGUGGGUAGCAAA
rnacentral:rRNA from 1 species